rnacentral:lncRNA from 1 species
AUUCCAGACUCUGAUUUGUCCAAGAAGGCACACCUGAGUGUGAAAAGUGGCAAGCUCCCAGCAAAGAUCAUGGUGUGGCCCUGGGACCCAUUCUCCAAGCCUGGGAGAAUUACUGCUGCAGUCACAAACUCAAUUGUUCUCAUUGCUGACAUUUUUUACUUAGCUGCAGGCAGACUCCACUCUCUUACAGGUGCUCACCCCUCCAGGGCUACUGCAGUACUGUGAGCCUCAGGCUGACAGGUUACCAGGGUUGGAGUCACCUUCCAUGGGAUGUAGCUUACAGUGUUGGAACGGCCACCUCAUUACCGGCUUUACAAAAGAAGUACCACGGAUCCCGUUUCACAGAUGG